rnacentral:rRNA from 1 species
GGGAGUUACAGUGCGUGAACCGAUCAGAGGUAAGCGGGUGGAGUUGAACUGCAAGCUCUGAGAAUUCAGCUGGUGAGUGUGGUUUGAGCUUGGUCAAGUCAGUUGGACUCUGUGGUCCGCGAGGCACUUAGCAAGUGUUGUGGUCCAUGGAUGUUCUUCGGGCUGACUCGCCGGUGCACUUUCUCAGAGUGGUCACCACGACCGGCAUGGCUGUCUGGCUGGUGGGGUUAAACCGGUUUUGCAAGGUCCUUGUGGCUCUGCUUGAUCGGGAUGGCAGGUAGCUCAUUGGCUUGCUUGCAGGUCGCUGAGAGCGUGGUCUUUAAGUGUAAUCAGCUGACCACAUCGGUUCAGAGCGGUAUGACGGAGACGGCGUGCAUAGCUCGUGCGUGCGUACCUGGUUGGCGUGUACGUGCCUGUUUGUUAUGUCGCCAGUUCAUUCAGGACUGAUACUGCUUCGUAUUCGUUCCGCUGGCUGUUGCGUGCGUGUACUAUAUGGUGCCGAUAGUCUGAUGGUGUAGUACCCGUCAUGCACCUGGACACCAUCGAUGAAACCGGGACCAAGA